GAUGAACGCUGGCGGCGUGCCUAAUACAUGCAAGUCGAGCGGACAGACGAGGAGCUUGCUCCUCUGACGUUAGCGGCGGACGGGUGAGUAACACGUGGAUAACCUACCUAUAAGACUGGGAUAACUUCGGGAAACCGGAGCUAAUACCGGAUAACAUGUUGAACCGCAUGGUUCAACAGUGAAAGACGGUUUUGCUGUCACUUAUAGAUGGAUCCGCGUCGCAUUAGCUAGUUGGUAAGGUAACGGCUUACCAAGGCAACGAUGCGUAGCCGACCUGAGAGGGUGAUCGGCCACACUGGAACUGAGACACGGUCCAGACUCCUACGGGAGGCAGCAGUAGGGAAUCUUCCGCAAUGGGCGAAAGCCUGACGGAGCAACGCCGCGUGAGUGAAGAAGGUCUUCGGAUCGUAAAACUCUGUUAUUAGGGAAGAACAAAUGUGUAAGUAACUAUGCACGUCUUGACGGUACCUAAUCAGAAAGCCACGGCUAACUACGUG
rnacentral:rRNA from 1 species